AAGUCGUAACAAGGUUUCCGUAGGUGAACCUGCGGAAGGAUCAUUAACACGUAUCCAACGUUAAACAACCCUGUGAACUUUAAGCCUACUCUUGCAGCCCAUGAGGAACAGCAAUCCCGGUAAAUCAUUGCCAAACAGUUUUGAUUCGGGACCUCUGUCCAAAAGGAGUUGCAAUUGAGUGGUAGAUGCAGUGGCAUGGCUUCCCCAAGCAGUUAGUGAAUGACAGUGUCACUGACUGUGUAAGGAUAACGCCUCACGGUUGCCAGAGGUCGAUCACCGACCGGCAUUAAUCACUCCACCGCCUAGUGGUAACGCGCUAGGUAAAAAAAACCGAACAACUGUUAACAAUGGAUAUCUUGGUUCUC
rnacentral:misc_RNA from 1 species